rnacentral:misc_RNA from 1 species
AACAUCGCGCACCUGCGGGAACCUGCGGAGGGAUCAUUACUGAGUCACGUGCUCAAACAACCCUUCUGUGGACCUGAAAUAAAACCGUUGCCUCGGCGGGCGGUCCCCCCCAAACCAACCCCACGUGGUGGGUUAGGGGAGACCAGACAGUCCGGUACGCUUAAGGCAUCCGGCGCCAGCCGCUGGCCCCAAACAAUUAAACUCUAGUAAUCUUUACCUUCUGAGUUUCAAUAUUUAAAA